UUCUCUUCUCAUAUCAAGACAAUACAAUUGUCCUUGCUAUUAUGUUAAAUCAAUGACAAAUUCACCAAAAAAAACAUGGCUAACCUAAGCCCUAAUCAGGUCAUGAUCCAUAACUAUGGCUUCACUUUCAGAGAAUCCUCAAUUCGUUAGAUGAGUUGUUUGGUUGCCAAGGUACACUCCUGAGUCCUGUAGAAGUCAGAAAGAAAGAAAAUAAUUUUGAGUGAAAUCAAAGGUUCUUGAAAAGUAAAAAUUAACGUAAAUCAAAGACAUUAAGAAAUUGUCUUUCAGGGGUGCACUCACUUCAGGGACAGCACCUGCCAAACCAAAGAUUACAGACUGAUUCAAUCGCUUUCCAAAAAACUCUAAGCUUGGAACUAUUCACAGUCUGUUAACCGAAUAACCUCAAUAUGCAAACAGACUACACUUCAUCCCAAACUACACCAACAAUACAAAGAAUGUGAUGCAUAGUUAACAAUCUUUAUAAAGAGAAUAUAACCAAAGCAUAUAGUUAAAAGUCCUUUCAAAGAGAAGUACCAAAACAUGUUAUCAUGAAUGACUUGGCUUCUCCUGUAUAUAAAUUAAGAAUUAAGAAUAGUUCAUGGAGUGAAUUUAGAAUAGUUAGGGAAAGGAAAGAAAAAACUAAUUUAGACCAAACGUGCCAUUGCUCUGUGGUAAGAAGAACACUUUACAGGCUUUGCUUCUCGUGCAUAGAGUGUUAUUUAUCAUAAUGCAAAGUAGGGUACACUACAUGCAUUGGUCAUGAUCUUAAAAACAAAAAGCUAAUAUAAAGAUAGCCGUUACUUCCCGCCAAAGCAACCGUGAUAGUUAGAAAGUAGCCAAC
rnacentral:lncRNA from 1 species